CCUACGGGAGGCAGCAGUGAGGAAUAUUGGUCAAUGGACGCAAGUCUGAACCAGCCAUGCCGCGUGCAGGAUGACGGCUCUAUGAGUUGUAAACUGCUUUUGUACGAGGGUAAACCCCGAUACGUGUACCGGGCUGCAAGUAUCUUACGAAUAAGGAUCGGCUAACUCCGUGCCAUCAGCCGCGGUAAUACGGAGGAUCCGAGCGUUAUCCGGAUUUAUUUGGUUUAAAGGGUGCGUAGGCGGUUUGAUGAGUUAGAGGUGAAAUGUCGGGGCUCAACCCCGAAACUGCCUCUAAUACUGUUGGACUAGAGAAUAGUUGCGGUAGGCGGAAUGUAUGGUGUAGCGGUGAAAUGCUUAGAGAUCAUACAGAACACCGAUUGCGAAGGCAGCUUACCAAACUAUAUCUGACGUUGAGGCACGAAAGCGUGGGUAGCAAACAGGAUUAGAUACCCGAGUAGUC
rnacentral:rRNA from 1 species